GACGAACGCUGGCGGCGUGCUUAACACAUGCAAGUCGAACGGAAAGGCCCUGCUUUUGUGGGGUGCUCGAGUGGCGAACGGGUGAGUAACACGGGAGUAACCUGCCCUUGACUUUGGGAUAACUUCAGGAAACUGGGGCUAAUACCGGAUAGGAGCUCCUGCUGCAUGGUGGGGGUUGGAAAGUUUCGGCGGUUGGGGAUGGACUCGCGGCUUAUGAGCUUGUUGGUGGGGUAGUGGCUUACCAAGCCUUUGACGGGUAGCCGGCCUGAGAGGGUGACCGGCCACAUUGGGACUGAGAUACGGCCCAGACUCCUACGGGAGGCAGCAGUGGGGAAUAUUGCACAAUGGGCGGAAGCCUGAUGCAGCAACGCCGCGUGCGGGAUGACGGCCUUCGGGUUGUAAACCGCUUUCGCCUGUGACGAAGCGUGAGUGACGGUAAUGGGUAAAGAAGCACCGGCUAACUACGUG
rnacentral:rRNA from 1 species